rnacentral:ncRNA from 1 species
AUUCCGAGAGAGAUCGCAUUGCGCGGCGCCGAAGGGGAAUGCAAAAACUCUCAGGCAAAAGGAUCGG